rnacentral:rRNA from 1 species
ACGGGGUCUAAUACCGGAUAACACUUCCUGCCGCAUGGUGGGGGGUUAAAAGCUCCGGCGGUGAAGGAUGAGCCCGCGGCCUAUCAGCUUGUUGGUGGGGUGAUGGCCUACCAAGGCGACGACGGGUAGCCGGCCUGAGAGGGCGACCGGCCACACUGGGACUGAGACACGGCCCAGACUCCUACGGGAGGCAGCAGUGGGGAAUAUUGCACAAUGGGCGAAAGCCUGAUGCAGCGACGCCGCGUGAGGGAUGACGGCCUUCGGGUUGUAAACCUCUUUCNGCAGGGAAGAAGCGAAAGUGACGGUACCUGCAGAAGAAGCGCCGGCUAACUACGUGCCAGCAGCCGCGGUNNUACGUAGGGCGCAAGCGUUGUCCGGAAUUAUUGGGCGUAAAGAGCUCGUAGGCGGCUUGUCACGUCGGAUGUGAAAAGCCCGGGGCUUAACCCCGGGGUCUGCCUUCNNUUACGGGGCUAGCUAGAANGNGGUAGGGGAGAUCGGAAUUCCU